rnacentral:rRNA from 1 species
GUCCUUUUGUUUUAUAUUUAAGGUCUAACCUGCCCACUGAAUAAUUUAAAUGGCCGCAGUAUUUUAACUGUGCAAAGGUAGCAUAAUCAUUAGUUUUUUAAUUAAAAGCUUGUAUGAAAGGUUGGACGAGGUAAAAACUGUCUCUAUUUAAUUAAUUAUAAAAUUUAAUUUUUAAGUUAAAAAGCUUAAAUUUUUUUAAAAGACGAGAAGACCCUAUAGAUCUUUAUAUUUAUUAUUUUAUUUUUAAUUAAGAUUUAUUUAAAUUUUAUUAUAUUAAAUAUUUUAUUGGGGUAAUAAGAAGAUUAAAAAAAUUCUUUUUUAUUUUAUUCAUUGAUUAAUGUUUUAAUGAUCCAAUUUUAUUGAUUAUAAGAUUAAGUUACCUUAGGGAUAACAGCGUAAUUUUUUUAGAGAGUUCAUAUCGAUAAGAAAGUUUGCGACCUCGAUGUUGGAUUAAAGAUUAAUUUAGGUGUAGAUGUUUAAAUUUUUGGUCUGUUCGACCAUUAAAUCUUUACAUGAUCUGAGUUCAGACCGGUGUAAGCCAGGUCGGUUUCUAUCUUUAAUAAUAUAAUAUAUUUUAGUACGAAAGGACCAAAUAUAUAAUAUAUAAAUAUUUAUUAAUUUUUGAAUAUUAUUAAUUAUUUUGGCAGAUUAGUGCAAUGAAUUUAGAAUUCAUAUAUGUAAAUUUUUACAAGUAAUACUUGUUUUAUAUAGAUGUAAUAUUUUCUUUUAUUUGUAUAUUAUUAUUAGUUAUUUGUGUAUUA